rnacentral:rRNA from 1 species
AUUGAACGCUGGCGGCGUGCUUAACACAUGCAAGUCGAGCGGUAACAGGCGUAGCAAUACGUGCUGACGAGCGGCGAACGGGUGAGUAAUGCUUCGGAAUCUGCCUGAUAGUGGGGAAUAACUAACCGAAAGGUUAGCUAAUGCCGCAUACGUCCCCUCUUCACAACGGAGAGGCGAGAAAGCGGGGGAUCGCAAGACCUCGCGCUAACAGAUGAGCCGAAGUCGGAUUAGCUUGUUGGUGAGGUAACGGCUCACCAAGGCGACAAUCCG